CUCGAGAUUGCGGAAGCGGAUCAGGGUGGCGAUUGCCUUGCCGGAGCUCUUCAGAUGACCCGUUCUAUAGGAGAAGACACAUAGAGCGGCGAUGGCAACACGGGUCAACGGCAUCAGCAACACCGGAGUGCACUCCGGACUACCUUUGCUUCCAGAUGUGGGUCUCUCACAGGGAGGAAGAAGAAAAUCAUGGAAACAAGUUCAGCAGUAGAAACAUCACCAUGGGUGGAUUUGGUGACACAAAUGUACAUAAGCGAGGACAUCAUCUUUUUGCUGAUUUGCGUGUUGGCUGGCCCGAAC